rnacentral:rRNA from 1 species
UUCCGGUUGAUCCUGGCGGAGGCUACUGCUAUCGAGGUUCGACUAAGCCAUGCGAGUCGAAUGUAGCAAUACAUGGCGUACUGCUCAGUAACACGUGGACAACCUACCCUUAGGUCGGGGAUAAACCCGGGAAACUGGGUAUAAUACCCGAUAGUCCUCGGAUGCUGGAAUGCACCGAGGUCUAAAGCUCCGGCGCCUAAGGAUGGGUCUGCGGCCUAUCAGGUAGUAGUGGGUGUAGCGUACCUACUAGCCUACGACGGGUACGGGUUGUAAGAGCAAGAGCCCGGAGAUGGAUUCUGAGACACGAAUCCAGGCCCUACGGGGUGCAGCAGGCGCGAAAACUUUACAAUGCUGGAAAUAGCGAUAAGGGGACCUCGAGUGCCAGGUUACAAAUCUGGCUGUCGUGAUGCCUAAAAAGCAUUGCAUAGCAAGGGCCGGGCAAGGCCGGUGCCAGCCGCCGCGGUAACACCGGCGGCUCGAGUGGUAACCGCUAUUAUUGGGUCUAAAGGGUCUGUAGCCGGCCGGAUAAGUCUUUUGGGAAAUCUGGCAGCUUAACUGUCAGGCUUUCAGAGGAUACUGUCUGGCUCGAGGCCGGGAGAGGUGAGAGGUACUCAGGGGUAGGGGGAAAUCUUGUAAACUGAAGGACCACCA